rnacentral:rRNA from 1 species
UACGGGGGGGGCAAGCGUUGUUCGGAAUUACUGGGCGUAAAGGGCUCGUAGGCGGCCAACUAAGUCACACGUGAAAUCCCCAGGCUUAACCUGGGAACUGCGUGUGAUACUGGAUGGCUAGAGUACGGUAGAGGGGGAUGGAAUUCCGCGUGUAGCAGUGAAAUGCGUAGAUAUGCGGAGGAACACCGAUGGCGAAGGCAAUCCCCUGGACCUGUACUGACGCUCAUGCACGAAAGCGUGGGGAGCAAACAGG